rnacentral:rRNA from 1 species
CUACGGGAGGCAGCAGUGGGGAAUAUUGGACAAUGGGGGAAACCCUGAUCCAGCAAUGCCGCGUGAGUGAAGAAGGCCUUAGGGUUGUAAAGCUCUUUCGGCGGGGAAGAUGAUGACGGUACCCGCAGAAGAAGCCCCGGCUAACUCCGUGCCAGCAGCCGCGGUAAUACGGAGGGGGCUAGCGUUGUUCGGAAUUACUGGGCGUAAAGCGCGCGUAGGCGGCCGACGAAGUCAGGUGUGAAAGGCCCGAGCUCAACUUGGGAACUGCACUUGAUACUGGUUGGCUCGAGGCCGGGAGAGGAUAGUGGAAUUCCCAGUGUAGAGGUGAAAUUCGUAGAUAUUGGGAAGAACACCAGUGGCGAAGGCGGCUAUCUGGACCGGUACUGACGCUGAGGUGCGAAAGCGUGGGGAGCAAACAGGAUUAGAUACCCCAGUAGUCC